CCUACGGGGGGCUGCAGUGGGGAAUAUUGGACAAUGGGCGAAAGCCUGAUCCAGCCAUGCCGCGUGUGUGAAGAAGGCCUUCGGGUUGUAAAGCACUUUCAGUGGGGAAGAAAGCCUUGGGGCUAAUACCCUCGAGGAAGGACAUCACCCACAGAAGAAGCACCGGCUAACUCCGUGCCAGCAGCCGCGGUAAUACGGAGGGUGCGAGCGUUAAUCGGAAUUACUGGGUGUAAAGCGCGCGUAGGCGGUCUGAUAAGCCGGUUGUGAAAGCCCCGGGCUCAACCUGGGAACGGCAUCCGGAACUGUCAGGCUAGAGUGCAGGAGAGGAAGGUAGAAUUCCCGGUGUAGCGGUGAAAUGCGUAGAGAUCGGGAGGAAUACCAGUGGCGAAGGCGGCCUUCUGGACUGACACUGACGCUGAGGUGCGAAAGCGUGGGUAGCAAACAGGAUUAGAUACCCGAGUAGUC
rnacentral:rRNA from 1 species